UCUAAGGUGACUGCCGGCUAAAAGUCGGAGGAAGGUGGGGAGUGACGUCAAAUCAUCAUGCCCCUUAUGACCUGGGCUACACACGUGCUACAAUGGGCGGUACAAAGGGUCGCGAACCCGCGAGGGGGAGCCAAUCCCAAAAAGCCGCUCUCAGUUCGGAUUGCAGGCUGCAACUCGCCUGCAUGAAGCCGGAAUCGCUAGUAAUCGCGGAUCAGCAUGCCGCGGUGAAUACGUUCCCGGGCCUU
rnacentral:rRNA from 1 species